CGGGAUGCAGCUCAGUUUGGUGGAGUACUGCGUUCGGUACGCAGGGGCCGCACGUUCAAGUCGUGCCAUCCCGACCA
rnacentral:tRNA from 2 species